rnacentral:rRNA from 1 species
UGAGUAAUGUCUGGGAAACUGCCUGAUGGAGGGGGNGUAACUACUGGAAACGGUAGCUAAUACCGCAUAACGUCGCAAGACCAAANAGGGGGACCUUCGGGCCUCUUGCCAUCGGAUGUGCCCAGAUGGGAUUAGCUAGUAGGUGGGGUAACGGCUCACCUAGGCGACGAUCCCUAGCUGGUCUGAGAGGAUGACCAGCCACACUGGAACUGAGACACGGUCCAGACUCCUACGGGAGGCAGCAUG